UAGGGCUGAAACAACAAUCCCUUGUAAACCUGUGAACCUGAUUACCAAGAAAUGGAAGAAAUCCAAGCUGAAAACUAAGAAGAGUCCUAUGGCUGUAGUUACCAAAACUCCUGCACCUACUGCACAUAAGGCCAACAAGACCUAUCAGGCCAAGUGCUUCUUCUGUAGGAAACCAGGACACUUCAAGAAAGACUGUCAGGGUUUCAAGGAUUGGCUAACAAAACGAGGGGUUAACAAACAGGAGAGCACCAAGGCGUGAGGAGCUUCAGCUUUGUGUAGGAAAUGGGAUGCGGGUUGCUGUCAAGGCUGUAGGAACUCUUAGUUUGGAUUUAGGCCUAGGAAAUUUUCUGGAAUUAGACAAUGUCUUUUAUGUACCUUCCUUAAGAAGGAAUUUGUUAAGUUUGUCAUUAUUGACAAAACUUGGUUGCUGUUUUUAUAUAGAUAGUUUUGGAAUAAAAGUAUCCCGAAAUUCCCUACCAUUUGCA